CACGGGUGAGGGGCUCCAGUAACCGAAGAGCGGCUCAGCCAGGAGCGAGAGUCAGCCAGACACAGGAGUGCACCUGCAUCCUCUGCAGCUGCCAUUGUGUGGGGCUUCUGGAGGAUGGGGACCCUGAUCUCUCAGCUCCACCCCCCCACCACGCCCUGGCCUUGAAGCAAACAUUACCAGGUGCACCCAGCAAGGCUGGUAUCGUCUUUGGAUUCUCUUUAUAACGCUAUGGGAAUAUAGGAAGAUAGAGCUCUAAGUGGAGGGUAAUCUUUGGGUGUUGGAAGUGGAGCCGCUCCCCUGCAAAGCCGCCCUCAGCAUCCCAGGGAUCACCACAAGCCCCACUACCUGGUGCCCAGAAAGACACAGGACACCCUUGGAGUGGAGAACUUGACCUCUUUGCUGCCCUCGGACUUGGUGCAGGGUAGCCGGCGGCAGGUGCCGUGGAUGGGGCUGCGCAGCAGCGAUGGUGCCGUUUACUCUGCCCCUUUUACCGCCAAGGUUCUUCGUGGUCUGUGACUCCAGGGUUUGAAAUGAUCUCAUUUACCCCACAUGAUAGAUGUGGCCCUUAGAGAUGAGGAGUUCAGUUGCAUGGUAGAGCAGCCAGAGAAGCCAUUAAAAAUAAGGCUCAAAAUAAGGAGCAACCACAAAAUAGGUGAUUUAUAGAGGCACAUUAGCUUGUUUCACUUGAGAAGCGGCAUUUUAUUGGGCAAAGAGCACUGGGUUUUUACUCUCAGAGUCAACUAUAGUUAGGGAUCUGCUGUUUGUCUAAAGAUCUCGUGCAAGAGU